AUAUGGUAUUGGCUGCUUUCUGCAUCCUUUGUCUUUUGGGUUGAACGAAUAAACUUUAUUAAACAGAAUGGUCAAGCUUAUAAAAGAGCCUGCAGAGUUCCAGGAUCACAUAAGAACCAGUUAUUGAUCACAUUUUUCAUUGACAUUUUCUGCAGCUUUCUCCCUUCUGCAUCUUUGAGCAACAUUUGUUUGGCAUUUUUAUAUUUAAUUUGUACACGCCAAGUUGAUUUCUCACUUUUAUGAUGCAAAAA
rnacentral:misc_RNA from 1 species